GGAGCAGGUUGCAGCACACAGGCCUCCGACUGAGAGCCUUUUAACGUUUGUCUGGUCCAUACAGCGAUAUAUAGCAAUCUCGAUGGGAAGGCAUAUAUGUACAAUGCUUGCUUGUAUUUUCUCACGACGUAAAAAGAAAUGUUCACACAGUGAUUUCAUAAGCCGGUAAUGCAGCGUAUUGUGGGGACCAGAAGCGCAAAAGAAGUCACAGUUUGUCCAACGCGACAGCACUGGCUGGGAGUGGCUUGCAUCGACUCAUCGAGUCUUCCCCUUUUUAGACGGCUUUGAGGCCGGAUGCGAAAUCCGACAAACCAGACAAGAGGAAUUCCUUCGGAGCAAGAACCGGGUGUUAGCGAGAAGCAUUUUGUGAAAGGGUCCUGCUAAGUGACUCUUGGCGCACAUUGGUCUACCCGGAUAGGAACAUUCAUCGAGAUCGUGGGAAGGGUGUUGGAACGAGUGGAAUUGAAUUUUAUGGCCCGGAUGUUUUAUCCGUCCAGGGACAAACCUUGAUAGGCUUGACCGGGAAGGGGACUCCCGCGUGUUCCCAAGCGGGGCAUCCUGCCAACCUUAUGUGCAGUAAGAAACCACGGUACGUAUCUCCCCGGACAAAAUGUUCUGUUCGUAAGUGCGCAUGUAGCGACGCAAGACAGAAUGCGAUGGGAGGAAUGAGCGAGGUUCGGCUUCGCUGAAAGUGGCGGUCCCCGGUCCGGUUGUGACAGAAUUGACCAUCUAUCUGAAAUCAAAUAUCGAGUACAUACGGAGUGGAAACUUGAAGGGCGCAUUCUGAAGAUAUCCAGCAUCAGGGCCUUGUUGCCGGUCGUAAGACGGAGCUGCUGUUCUGAGAUGUAGGAACAACCGGCAGUUUCAUGCUUCUGCUGCGUUUCAAUGUGAAAAAUAUGACAUCUCAGGCCUUUCUUUAGUUCUUCAUGAAGCAAAAUUCCGCUUGAAUCUGAUUUGGAUUGCAAAAUUGACAAUCCGCAUCACAACAAUGUGUCCAGAACAUGGAGGACAGAUCGCAAAAGGUGAAUGACCAUGGGAUGCUGGCAUAGUUAUAUCAGCCAGGAAAUAAGGAAAUCAGAUCACGCUAUCAGUAGCUCCUUGCUUCCACGCAUGUCGUAGCAGUCGGGGUUUGAGGAGCACACCCUAUCAAAGUGAUUCACUAGCUGUAAUCGUCUCCAUUUCCAGCGACGUAGUGUGGCUUGGGGGCUCGUGUUCCUAAGAGUGAUCAUGAUCGCCAUGCUUGUGAUUCAACGGCGCGGCGGAGGUCUGACACGUAUAAGAGAUAUUGGAUCGAAUCUUCCCUCUAACUCAGAUCUGACUUAUCUGAUUGAUCUCGAUCUCUUUCUGUUUGGGAGGUGUCGAGCCGACACGUGACGGCGACGGCCGCUCUUUCUGUUUGGAGGAACUUGUCUGCCGAUGGAUGCCAUCCCUCCAGAAACCAGCAUGAGGAGUUUCAACAUCGUCCAGCAACCAUGAACCAAGCAAAAAGGAAAAUCGAUAGUUGAUUAGUAGACUAGCAGCCCCCUUUGAGGCUCAACGAAAUCAGAGCCACAACGCCAUUGUACCGUUCCGCCGCCGAUGCCAAGCUCCAAUGUUAAGCGCUCAAAUGCCGGUUGGCAAAAUCUCCUGCUCGACGCAUUUCACCAUUGACAGACAGUGGACGUUCAGCGAUACCAAGUACCAUGUGGAUGUUUCUAGUCCAGAGGCUUUAGCGAACUGCCGCCUGUUCUCCGAUGCUUAGUCGGGUUGGAAAGGCGUUGUGUUAUGGUUUUUUGGGAUACGAUUUAAAGCGACUACGAGAGGACCCCUGACGAUACGAACAUAACCGAUGUUACGAGCCUUCAAACCUCGAUAUAAACAAAAUAACUCAAAGGUCAAUUUCGAAAUAAAAGUUUGCAGGUUACAUAAUCUCGCGCCCUUGCUCGCCGUCAGUACGUCAUCGGGGUGAUUUAGGGCAAAUUCACGGGAUUAUAACAUCAGAAAUAGCCUCGUGCUAGCAUCCAUGGGGCAUCGCCUUGGUUGAUAUUAAGUUAUCGUUGCUUAAGCCACACCGCAUAGUGUGAUCUCUAUUGAAGAAGGCUGUCACCCCCCAAGGCUACUGCAGCUCCCAGACAACAAUGUAUAGACAAGACCUAUGGCUAGGGUUCACAUCAAUGCCAUAUUGGUAAUAUGAGUAUGGCCCGUCCGUCAUUCUUGGCUUCUGUCAAGUCCGCGACCGAGGCCUUGUAUGAUUGCUGCUACAAAAGGCCAUUCGGCUGACCUAUAGGCAGUGCCAUGUAUGUGGAAAAUGCAUUUCCAUGCACACCAGUUGGCGAGACAAACCUCAGCAAUAAAGACAGAAUUCUCGACACGUCGGCAAAUUUAGUCUCCCAAUCUUGGAAAUCUAACUGUAUAAAACUGACGGGGUCAUGAUGAGGCAUCAGUUAUGAACACCGCCCAGCUCCAAUGCUCUACUUGACCUACCGCGGCGGAAUAUCAGUUUCGCACUUGCAAGUUGGAUUAAAGAAUGGAGAAGGCGAUGAAUGGAGACUACGAAUCGGGACAUCAGCCUUUCUCGAAAUAUUAUGUUUCUCAAGUUUAUAUCCUAUAACUCUACAUGACACCAAAGCAAAUUCUGAACUGAUAUGCGAUGCAUCUUGGCUUCGUGAGACAUCAGCAACGAGGCCCGUAUUCUUUUGUGAGGAUAGACCCGGCAGAGCCACCUCUUGUGGCCAUACGGCCUAUAUCCGAUUGGCCCUAAACUGCAGAAAUCGGGUGACAAGAAUAUCUUAGUCCGGACUUUGGAGUAUCCAACUCAGCAAGCGUUAUGUUAUCUGGAAGACGAAACAGCAAGACUUCGGUGGCCAUUGUGCACGGGUACCUGCCACUCCGGUGGAGUAACAGUAGGCAUCAAGUUAGUGACCAGUGGGCAAAGACUAGAAUGGAGGAAACAAGGAUAGCUCUCAUAUUCGUGGCACGGUGACGCAUCUGCUUGGGAGCCCGCAACGCUUCCUGUUAGAGUUAGUGCGCUCUCUGUUGAUGUUUGCCUACGUCGCUCGACUCGAGGUCCCGAAGGAGACGAAGGAGCUCAUUCUUGAGACACGGUGUACUCCGUACAGAGCCUAUGCCAUACUCGUUUACGAACUAAGGGACUUGUCACAAGAAAACUUGCUUUUUCUAUGGUGCACAGUCAAACAUCAUUUCUCCCUACUUUUUUCAGUAUGCAUUUCGUACGGGACUGCAUAAUCAGGGAAGUUUAUGCUCUCAUUACACCCGUCCGGUCCAAAUCAGGUCUACCUUGCGCCCACAGCUUGCUAGGUGUCGGGGAAGUGAAGCCGCUGCAAACUUGAUAUGAAUCAUCACACACGCGUCCAAAUAGGGAACGCGUACUAACAUUACUGAGCAAGUCAAUUCGAUAACAGUCAAACACGUACUAGCCUGCAUAGCCCACACUUGGGUUAGCGGUCACGACUGUUAUCGACAUUCGAUUACGUACUCCUUGCCUUUUCAUGGCCUAUUUUACGAUGUUUGAUAGAUCGUCGGUUUAAAGUUUAAGUAUUUGUUUUUUUCUUUAUGACAAAGAAGUGGAACCCGAGAAGUUGCCGGUAUUUUAUUUUCUCGGCUUUCCAGGCUGACAGCAAGGUUCAGAUGAAGCCUGAUCCGUCGAGGCUCACUUCAACACAACUUUUAGAUAGAGGUUUUCAUACGCACUGAUCAAGAUUGAAUAAUUUUUAAACAUAUAUAUAUAUA
rnacentral:lncRNA from 1 species